AUUGAACGCUGGCGGCAGGCUUAACACAUGCAAGUCGAGCGAGCGGCGGACGUGUGAGUAAUGUCUGGGAAACUGCCUGAUGGAGGGGGAUAACUACUGGAAACGGUAGCUAAUACCGCAUACCAUCAGAUGUGCCCAGAUGGGAUUGGCUAGUAGUGGGGGUAAUGGCUCACCUGGGCGACGAUCCCUAGCUGGUCUGAGAGGAUGACCAGCCACAAUGGAACUGAGACACGGUCCAGACUCCUAGGGGAGGCAGCAGUGGGGAAUAUUGCACAAUGGGUGCAAGCCUGAUGCAGCCAUGCCGCGUGGAUGAAGAAGGCCUUCGGGUUGUAAAGUACUUUCAGCGAGGAGGAGUUACUCGCAGAAGAAGCACCGGCUAACUCCGUGCCAGCAGCCGCGGUAAUAC
rnacentral:rRNA from 1 species